rnacentral:misc_RNA from 1 species
AAUUUCUCUCUCAUUCUCUCUAUUAUCUUCUCCCUAAAACUCUUUCUUCCUCUGCUGUAUUUUUAUUUUUUCUGCUACUUGAGAUCCUGUUGUUUGGGAUUUUGCUACAUAACAAAGUGGUAUCAAAGCUGUUAGACUAGUGUUAUCAAGGUGAAAGGCUGUCCUAAGGCGUUAGCGAACCCUAUGGCCUUAGGCGAAGGCGAGGCGAGGCCUUUUUGAAG